rnacentral:rRNA from 1 species
CGGAGGAUCCAAGCGUUAUCCGGAUUCAUUGGGUUUAAAGGGUGCGUAGGCGGACUGAUAAGUCAGCGGUGAAAUCCCACGGCUCAACUGUGGAACUGCCGUUGAUACUGUUAGUCUUGGAUGCAGAUGAUGUGGGCGGAAUAUGACAUGUAGUGGUGAAAUACUUAGAUAUGUCAUAGAACACCGAUUGCGAAGGCAGCUCACAAAACUGUGAUUGACGCUGAUGCACGAAAGCGUGGGGAUCAAACAGGAUUAGAUACCCUGGUAGUCCACGCCCUAAACGAUGAUUACUCGAUGUUGGCGAUACACCGUCCAGCGUCCAAGCGAAAGCGUUAAGUAAUCCACCUGGGGAGUACGGCCGCAAGGCUG